GUGCAGCAGUCGAGAAUCGUUCACAAUGGGCGCAAGCCUGAUGGCGCGACGCCGCGUGUGGGAUGGAGGCCUUCGGGUUGUAAACCGACUGUCACAGGGGAAGAAGGGCACGGAUGCUAACAUCGUCCGUGUUUGACGUUACCCUGAGAGGAAGCCACGGCUAACUCCGUGCCAGCAGCCGCGGUAAUACGGAGGUGGCAAGCGUUGUUCGGAAUUACUGGGCGUAAAGGGUGCGCAGGCGGUCUGUUGUAGUUCCGAUGUGAAAUCCCCCGGCUCACCCGGGGAACUGCAUCGAAAACUGACAGACUUGAGUGCAGGAGAGGAGAGCGGAAUUUCCGGUGUAGCGGUGAAAUGCGUAGAUA
rnacentral:rRNA from 1 species